UGUAGAACGAGCCAACGAGUUACGGUAUGUAGCAAGGUUAAGUACUUAAGGUACGGAGCCGAAGGGAAACCGAGUCUUAAUAGGGCGACUAGUUGCAUGCCGUAGACCCGAAACCGGGUGACCUAUCCAUGGCCAGGUUGAAGCGGGGGUAAAACCCCGUGGAGGACCGAACCACGUUGCUGUUGAAAAAGCAUGGGAUGAGCUGUGGAUAGCGGAGAAAUUCCAAUCGAACUCGGAGAUAGCUGGUUCUCCUCGAAAUAGCUUUAGGGCUAGCGUCGGAUAUGAGUAGUGGAGGUAGAGCACUGAAUGGGCUAGGGGGCAUAGCGCUUACCGAACCUUAUCAAACUCCGAAUGCCACAUACUAUUAGUCCGGCAGUCAGACUGCGAAAGAUAAGUUCCGUAGUCAAAAGGGAAACAGCCCAGAUCGUCAGCUAAGGUCCCAAAGUGUAAGUUAAGUGGAAAAGGAUGUGGGAUUUCUAAGACAACUAGGAUGUUGGCUUAGAAGCAGCCACUCAUUAAAAGAGUGCGUAAUAGCUCACUAGUCGAGAGAUCCUGCGCCGAAGAUGUCCGGGGCUCAAACUUACCACCGAAGCUACGGGUUCACACUUAUGUGUGAGCGGUAGAGGAGCGUCGUAAUCGGGCUGAAGUCGUACCGUAAGGAGCGGUGGACUGAUUACGAGUGAGAAUGUUGGCAUUAGUAGCGAGAUGUGGGUGAGAAUCCCACAGGCCGAAUAUCUAAGGUUUCCUCAGGAAGGUUCGUCCGCUGAGGGUUAGUCGGGACCUAAGCCGAGGCCGAAAGGCGUAGGCGAUGGACAAUCGGUUGAUAUUCCGAUACCACUACUGAUCGUUAUUAUCGAUGGUGUGACGGAGAAGGAUAGAGUGUGCUAGCUAUUGGAUGCUAGUCUAAGCGUUUAGGGAGUUAGGAAAGGCAAAUCCGUCCUAACAAUUCUGAGGCGUGAUGGGGAAGGUUCUACGGAACCGAAGUACUUGAUUCCAUGCUUCCAAGAAAAGCAUCUAGAGAGAGAUGUAGUGCCCGUACCGCAAACCGACACAGGUAGAUGAGGAGAGAAUCCUAAGGCCGGCGGAAGAAUCACAGUUAAGGAACUAGGCAAAUUGACCCCGUAACUUAGGGAGAAGGGGUGCCUGUGAGAGCAGGCCGCAGAGAAUAGGCCCAAGCAACUGUUUAGCAAAAACACAGGUCUCUGCUAAAGCGAAAGCUGAUGUAUAGGGGCUGACGCCUGCCCGGUGCUGGAAGGUUAAGGGGAACACUUAGCGCAAGCGAAGGUGUGAACUUAAGCCCCAGUAAACGGCGGCCGUAACUAUAACGGUCCUAAGGUAGCGAAAUUCCUUGUCAGGUAAGUUCU
rnacentral:rRNA from 1 species